GAUGAAGAACGUAGCGAAAUGCGAUAAGUAAUGUGAAUUGCAGAAUUCAGUGAAUCAUCGAAUCUUUGAACGCACCUUGCGCCAUUUGGCUAUUCUGAAGGGCAUGCCUGUUUGAGUAUCGUGAACACCUCAACUCUCAUGGUCUGCCAUGAUGAGCUUGGACUUUGGGGGUCUUGCUGGCCUACUGUCAGCUCCUCUCAAAUGAAUCAGCUUACCAGUGUUUGGUGGCACCACAGGUGUGAUAACUAUCUACGCUUGUGGUUUUCUGCCAGGUAACCUCCAGUGAUGGAGGUUCGCUGGAGCUCACAAAUGUCUCUCCUCAGCGAGGACAGCUUUUUGAACGUUUGAUCUCAAAUCAGGUAGGACUACCCGCUGAACUUAAGCAUAUCAAUAAGCGGAGGA
rnacentral:misc_RNA from 1 species